rnacentral:rRNA from 1 species
UACGAAGGGGGCUAGCGUUGUUCGGAAUUACUGGGCGUAAAGCGCGCGCAGGCGGUCUUCCAAGUCAGUGGUGAAAGCCCGGAGCUCAACUCCGGAACUGCCAUUGAAACUGUUAGACUUGAGGAUGAGAGAGGUGAGUGGAAUUCCCAGUGUAGAGGUGAAAUUCGUAGAUAUUGGGAAGAACACCGGUGGCGAAGGCGGCUCACUGGCUCAUUUCUGACG